UGAGGAAUAUUGGUCAAUGGGCGGUAGCCUGAACCAGCCAAGUAGCGUGAGGGAUGACUGCCCUAUGGGUUGUAAACCUCUUUUAUAAGGGAAUAAAGUCGGGUACGUGUACCCGUUUGUAUGUACCUUUUGAAUAAGCAUCGGCUAACUCCGUGCCAGCAGCCGCGGUAAUACGGAGGAUGCGAGCGUUAUCCGGAUUUAUUGGGUUUAAAGGGUGCGUAGGCGGAAUAAUAAGUCAGCUGUGAAAGUUUGAGGCUCAACCUUAAAAUUGCAGUUGAUACUGUUAUUCUUGAGUAUGGAUAAGGAAGGCGGAAUUCGUGGUGUAGCGGUGAAAUGCUUAGAUAUCACGAAGAACUCCGAUCGCGUAGGCAGCUUUCCGGGCCAUCACUGACGCUGAGGCACGAAAGUGUGGGUAUCAAACA
rnacentral:rRNA from 1 species